GACGAACGCUGGCGGCGUGCUUAACACAUGCAAGUCGAACGGAAAGGCCCUGCUUUUGUGGGGUUCUCGAGUGGCGAACGGGUGAGUAACACGUGAGUAACCUGCCCUUGACUUUGGGAUAACUUCAGGAAACUGGGGCUAAUACCGGAUAGGAGCUCCUGCUGCAUGGUGGGGGUUGGAAAGUUUCGGCUGUUGGGGCUGGACUCGCGGCUUAUCAGCUUGUUGGUGGGGUAGUGGCUUACCAAGGCUUUGACGGGUAGCCGGCCUGAGAGGGUGACCGGGGACAAGGGGACUGAGAGACGGACCAGACGCCAACGGGAGGCAGCAGUGGGGAGUAUGGCACAAUGGGCGGAAGCCUGAGGCAGCAGCGCCGCGUGCGGGAUGACGGCCUUCGGGUUGUAAACAGCUGUCGCCUGUGACGAAGCGGGAGUGACGGUAAUGGGUAAAGAAGCACCGGCUAACUACGUG
rnacentral:rRNA from 1 species